UAGGGAAUCUUCCGCAAUGGGCGAAAGCCUGACGGAGCAACGCCGCGUGAGUGAUGAAGGUCUUCGGAUCGUAAAACUCUGUUAUUAGGGAAGAACAAAUGUGUAAGUAACUAUGCACGUCUUGACGGUACCUAAUCAGAAAGCCACGGCUAACUACGUGCCAGCAGCCGCGGUAAUACGUAGGUGGUAAGCGUUAUCCGGAAUUAUUGGGCGUAAAGCGCGCGUAGGCGGUUUUUUAAGUCUGAUGUGAAAGCCCACGGCUCAACCGUGGAGGGUCAUUGGAAACUGGAAAACUUGAGUGCAGAAGAGGAAAGUGGAAUUCCAUGUGUAGCGGUGAAAUGCGCAGAGAUAUGGAGAAACACCAGUGGCGAAGGCGACUUUCUGGUCUGUAACUGACGCUGAUGUGCGAAAGCGUGGGGAUCAAACAGG
rnacentral:rRNA from 1 species